GCCCCUUCCUGCCCACGGCCAGGAGGACAGGCAUCCUGGAUGUUCUAGAAUUCAGUGAACACAGUCCUGGAUACAGCAAAAUUUCAUUCUGGUGUUGUAAACUGUGCACUGCCGAGCAUCGUAGCUAAGAGUUUUGAUAUGUGUGGCACCUGUAUAUAUCACUGGAAAAGUUCGGAGGGCAAGAGAGGUAACUGAGGCUUGGAGAGGAAAGCUGUCACUUGCCCAUGUUCACUCCGAAUGCAUGACUGCAUGGGCUGGGGGAUGAGACCUUCUGAUGUCCAGUCUCGGCCACCAGAGGCAGGACCGUGAGAGGCCACAGCUUUGUCCACUCCUGUUAGCACAGACUUCUGGAGCCUGUUGUCCAGUUUGAAUUCUCGGCUUCACCACUUACUAACGGUAAACUUCAAUAAAGCUGAAAAAAGGAAAAAAACCACAGGAAGCAAUUGGGCUGUAAGAUCCAUCAGGAUAAGAGCUGGCGAGGCCAAGACAAACACUGAGGGCACCUCCCACACAACCUUAAAGGGCCCAAACUUUUGAUGAAACCAUCCCCAUCACAAUAGGAACAAAUUGGCCGCAUUAAACAACAGAUGGGAGACUUUGUCUGGGAUAAUGGAAGAUACGUCAAUUUCUAUUUUAUCUGUAACCUACAUAAUUUUGGGAAAAAAAUUUAAAGACAGGUCAGAGACCAAAAGUGACCCAGUUGCAUGCAGCUUUUUGACCAUCUCCAAUAAGGAGGGAGACAUGCGAAUAAAACCACGUUGAAUCCUCCAUACCAGCCUGCCCUUCAGAUCUGGAAUUGCUCCCAAAGCCUGGCUCCUUUUGCUGGGAAACCACAUACAAAGACCACAGUUUGGGCAUUGGAUACUUUUUUCGAAGAAACAAAACAUUAGUUACAUUCCACUCCCUCUCCCCAGAUGGUUGCCACUAUAAUGAAUUUAGUGCCUUAUUAAUCUCUUGCAUUUUUAAAAAGUUUUGCAAUAUACAUAUAUAUUCACAAAUGAUAAAUCAUACUGUUUCACUGAUUCUAAAUCACACAUUCUCCUUCUAUUUUAAAUCAUUGAAUUGGAGAUGCAUCUUAUAGUUGAUAACAAGUGAUAGUUUAAUUGGUUGCAUUUUUUCUUUUUAGUAAUAUGCACCUUAUUGAUCUAUUAGCCUAUCUAUUUCAUCUAAGAUUAGCUAAAACAGAUUAACUUUUUUAUACUUUACAAAAAUUGAACCAUUUGAGCUUAUUUUUCUUGCUAAACGUCUUAGCAAACUUUAUUUAGGUAA
rnacentral:lncRNA from 1 species